GAUCAGUCGGUCGUGAUGGCCACGAUGAUGGAUGAACUUUUGAAGAACGGCCUUAAAAAGUUGUUAGUGAAGGCUUAUCCUCAGGAUUAUUCUGAUUUGCUGGUCUGGAUGAAAAAGUAUGCUCGCAUGGAGGAGGUCUUCAUCGAAGAGGUUCCUACCAGUUCUAUUGCAGUAGAGCAGAAUAAGGAGCACUCCCAAAGAUGGGAGGGGAGAACUCACCAGUGCUUCUGGUCCCCAUUCCAAAAAUAGAAAACUCGAGGC
rnacentral:lncRNA from 1 species